GAUGAGAACGCAGUGAAAUGCGAUAAGUAAUGUGAAUUGCAGAAUUCAGUGAAUCAUCGAAUCUUUGAACGCACAUUGCGCCCGCCAGUAUUCUGGCGGGCAUGCCUGUUCGAGCGUCAUUACAACCCUCAGGCCCCCGGGCCUGGCGUUGGGGAUCGGCGGAGCCCCCCGUGGGCACACGCCGUCCCCCAAAUACAGUGGCGGUCCCGCCGCAGCUUCCAUCGCGUAGUAGCUAACACCUCGCGACUGGAGAGCGGCGCGGCCACGCCGUAAAACACCCAACUCUUCUGAAGUUGACCUCGAAUCAGGUAGGAAUACCCGCUGAACUUAAGCAUAUCAAUAAGCGGAGGA
rnacentral:misc_RNA from 1 species